AAUGGGCGCAAGCCUGAUCCAGCCAUACCGCGUGGGUGAAGAAGGCCUUCGGGUUGUAAAGCCCUUUUGUUGGGAAAGAAAUCCAGCUGGCUAAUACCCGGUUGGGAUGACGGUACCCAAAGAAUAAGCACCGGCUAACUUCGUGCCAGCAGCCGCGGUAAUACGAAGGGUGCAAGCGUUACUCGGAAUUACUGGGCGUAAAGCGUGCGUAGGUGGUCGUUUAAGUCCGUUGUGAAAGCCCUGGGCUCAACCUGGGAACUGCAGUGGAUACUGGGCGACUAGAGUGUGGUAGAGGGUAGCGGAAUUCCUGGUGUAGCAGUGAAAUGCGUAGAGAUCAGGAGGAACAUCCAUGGCGAAGGCAGCUACCUGGACCAACACUGACACUGAGGCACGAAAGCGUGGGGAGCAAA
rnacentral:rRNA from 1 species